UAUGUGAUCGUCUCUCGCAUAUCAAUAAGCGGAGGAAAAGAAACUAACAAGGAUUCCCCUAGUAACGGCGAGUGAAGCGGGAAGAGUUCAAAUUUGAAAUCUUAAAGGGUUUCCCUUUACGAAUUGUAGUUUAAAGAAGUGUUUUCUGUUGAGGUUUUGGUAAAAGUUCUUUGGAAUAGGACAUCAUAGAGGGUGAGAAUCCCGUAUUUGACCUUUACUUUCAACUUUGUGAUACACUUUCAAAGAGUCGGAUUGUUUGGGAAUGCAGUCCAAAAUGGGUGGUAAAUUUCAUCUAAAGCUAAAUAUUGGCGAGAGACCGAUAGCGAACAAGUACCGUGAGGAAAGAUGAAAAGAACUUUGAAAAGAGAGUUAAACAGUACGUGAAAUUGUCAAAAGGGAAGCGUUUGACACCAGUGUUGUUUUUCUGAAAAUCAAUUAAAGAACUGUUUAUGCUAAGUUGUUUAGACUUUAUCAGCUAACUGUUUAGUUUUGAGCUUUUCUUUAAUGCACUUUUCAGUUAACAAGUCAACAUCAAUUUCUUUUGCUGUAAAAAAGCUUGAGGAAGGUGGCUUGAGAUUCGUCUUAAGUGUUUAUAGCCUCUUGCCUAUGCAGUCGGAGAGAUUGAGGUCUGCAGCGUAGAUCCUUCGGGGCUAAAUGCAUUUGUGCUAAGUUAUAGCAUUUUAUAGACAACUUGUUGACUAUGAUUUGCCUUGUAGCUUACUCGCUUAUGUUAUUUUACCUACGCUUAGGAUGUUGAAGACUCUACAGAGAUA
rnacentral:rRNA from 1 species